CAGCACGGGUGCUUGCACCUGGUGGCGAGUGGCGAACGGGUGAGUAAUGCAUCGGAACGUACCCUGGAGUGGGGGAUAACUAUCCGAAAGGAUAGCUAAUACCGCAUAUUCUAUGAGUAGGAAAGCGGGGGAUCUUCGGACCUCGCGCUCUGGGAGCGGCCGAUGUCAGAUUAGCUAGUUGGUGGGGUAAAGGCCUACCAAGGCUACGAUCUGUAGCGGGUCUGAGAGGAUGAUCCGCCACACUGGGACUGAGACACGGCCCAGACUCCUACGGGAGGCAGCAGUGGGGAAUUUUGGACAAUGGGGGCAACCCUGAUCCAGCCAUGCCGCGUGAGUGAAGAAGGCCUUCGGGUUGUAAAGCUCUUUCGGCCGGGAAGAAAUCGCCAUCUCUAAUAUAGGUGGUGGAUGACGGUACCGGAAUAAGAAGCACCGGCUAACUACGUGCCAGCAGCCGCGGUAAUACGUAGGGUGCGAGCGUUAAUCGGAAUUACUGGGCGUAAAGCGUGCGCAGGCGGUUUUUUAAGAUAGGCGUGAAAUCCCCGGGCUUAACCUGGGAACUGCGCUUAUGACUGGAAGACUAGAGUACGGCAGAGGGGGGUGGAAUUCCACGUGUAGCAGUGAAAUGCGUAGAGAUGUGGAGGAACACCGA
rnacentral:rRNA from 1 species